rnacentral:lncRNA from 1 species
AUACGCUGGCCAGUGGUCAGCUAGAAACUAAUUAUUUAGCUCCUCCCUGAGGGUGGGAAGUUAGGGCUCAAGCUUUUCCUCUUCUCUUGCAGCUACCUCCAUCAUUGUUUCUUCUGCAGCUGAAUAGGCUGGCAGGCAGCCUGAAAUGGGGACCUGCUCAGAAGACCCCCACCCCUGCUGGGCAUCCCGGCUCCUCGGACUCAUCAGUCUCUUUCUCAGUGUCUUCAGCAGUGGGACCAAUAGUGAUGGAGGUCCUGGUCCUGGAGUUCAGGAUUCUGGAGUCCACAUUCCUCUGCAGGGGAUCCGAGGAGAUUCUGUGCUGUUUCCUUUGCUCAAGAAGCAUGAAGCUGAGCUGGAGGAGGUCACAUGGGCCUUUGGUCCUGCGUCAGGGUACAGAGUCCUGCUGCGAGUCCGUCCUGGGGAAGCACCAAUAUGGGUGAGCCUCCAGGACAGGUACCAGCAGAGGAUCCAUGUGCCCAACAUGACAUCCCUGAAGAUUGAGAACCUGACCUCCGAGGACAGUGGGCUGUACCGGGCUCGAGGCAUCUUCACUGGAGGAGUAGAAUUUACCCAUGUUUUCCACCUCACUGUCUAUGAGCCUAUACCCAGUCCUGAGAUUCUGGCUGGGCCACGAUCCAUCACACCAGGCUGGUGCAAUGUCACCCUGGAGUGUGGGCCCAGAGGAGCCACAAAGGACCUGAAUGUGACCUGGAAGAGGGAGUACAUCCCUGAGGAGCUGGAGCAGACAGGGACACUGGGACCUGCCUCAAACUCCCACACCCUGGCUGUGAGGCUGCCCCUGAGUCAGCCCUACUCCAGUAUCACCUGCGUGGUCAGCAACCAGAUGGACCAGAAAACUGCUACCGUAGGUCUUGGGGAAGUCUGUGCCCAUGGUGAGUGCAACCUACCAGAGGGGAGGGCACUUUUAGAGCUCAGAUAGUACUGGGGUCUAAGAGCUCAGGGUUUUCUUUCUGCCCUUUUAUUAGCACUACAUUCCACCUGGUCACUCCAUACAGGAGACUGAGACAUAAGUUCAACUUAUUUUGCUCUUGAAUGUCUCUCACAUCCAUGAUCUACUCUAACCCCCUUUCCCUGGCUAGCCUUCCAAUACUUCUCCCUCCUCCCAUUCAGUGUUCAUUGUGCAUUCAGCAUGGUCUUUUGGAAACUAAUCAUAUUGGGUCUUUUGUGCCUUUUCCUCAAGUCUGACCUCCACAACUUCCUGCAGGAUUCAGGGCUCAGACAUUCCUCUGCCCACAUUUCUGGUCUCACAUACUCAACACUGAAUUGCUUGCUUAUAGUUUCCAGAACUUGCCCUGCUAGUACAAGCUUUUAUGCCUCUGGACAUGCUGUUGCCGCUACCCUCAGCCCUUCUUCACUCAGUGUCCUUGACUUAACUGUCUUAUUCUUUAUAGAGGAUUUUCUUCAGUCACUUCAGAUCUGUGGGCAUGUGAACACACACUCACACAUGGCUCUGCCCUAAGAAGGGGACCAUGAUUGGUUUAAAAUCUGCCGUUGCUCUCCUGAAAUUUUAAUACUUUCUCUUUUUUCGUCUUUUUUUUUUUUUUUUUUUUUGCCUUUUCUAUGGCCGCUUCCACAGCAUAUGGAGGAUCCCAGGCUAGGGGUCUAAUCGGAGCUGUAGCCACUGGCCUACACCUCAGCCACAGCAACGCGGGAUCUGAGCCACGUCUGCAACCUACACCACAGCUCAUGGCAACGCCAGAUCCUUAACCCACUGAGCAAGGCCAGGGAUGGAACCCGAAACCUCAUGGUUCCUAGUCAGAUUCAUUAACCACUGAGCCACGACGGGAAAUCCGACACGGCCAUUUCCUGAUUGCAGUGCUCCUCCCUCCUGGAAUACUAUGCCCAUCCAGAGUAUCUGGUAAACCCUUACUCAUUCCUCAAAGUCAGUUUAAGCAUCACCCCUUUGCCAGGCCCUCCCUGAAGACCUCUGGGUAAGGGGCAAACCUCUAGUUCACUGCAAUCCCACUGGCUGGCAGACUUUAGUAUUUUCUCAGUCUUCCCUUUGAGUGGCCACAUCUUGUUCAUCUCAGUAUUCCUGACACCCAGCAGGAACUCAGGAUAUGGUUGAAUGAACCUGCCAUACUCUUCCCUCUUCAGCUUCUGAACCAGAUUCUUUCAGACCUCUCAACCUGCUCAACCUCUCUAUCUUCCCUUGGCAAUGGGCAUGUCAGAGUCUCUCUUGACCUUAACUCAUUUGCUGUCUAUGUGUAAGAAAAACAGGUUCUCAAGGACUGCCCAUUGCUGGCUCCCUAGGAGCCAUUGUGGUUCUGCUGCUGAUCCUGGGAUCUGGACUGUGUUUUUGGAAGAAAUGUGGAAAGAAGAAGAUAGAGAUGAGAAGAGGCAGGUUGCACUUUUCCUCCCAUACCCGGAUACCACUUUUUCCUCACUGGACCCUUGACAGCCUUUCUCCUGCAUUUUUCUACCUGGGGAAUGUCCCCGUAGAGGGUGGGUGUGGCCAUAUGGUUUAGUGGGGGAGGGUACAGAUGUCCAUAGUCCAGAUUCAAGCUCCACUCUGCCCAUCACUCAGGUGCAGGAUCACCAGAGGACCAAAAAGAUGAUGACAGCAUCCAGUAUGUGGAGCUGAACCAGCAGGAAUCUCAAGAGGGCUUGUACAUGGUAAGACUUGGAAGCUGUGCUCACUUAGGCCUGGGUUUGUCAAAUUCAGUCCUUGCUGUUUCUGUCCUUACUGCCUCUUUAACUCUUUCUGGACAACCAACAAU